UGUCACGCUGUGAUCUGCACUGGCCGUGGGCGACAUAGGAGGGACUCAGGGGGACCCGGGAGACCUAGAAAUGGUCUCAGUGGCCAUUGAGGAUGUGUCUGUGACCUUCACCCUGGAGGAGUGGGCUUUAUUGGAUCCUUCACAGAAGAAACUCUACAGAGAUGUGAUGUCGGAAACCUUCAGGAAUCUGGCCUCCAUUGGAAAGAAAUGGAAAGAUCAUGACAUUGAAGAUCA